GAAGAUCACGCCUUUCUGUUCCUUC
rnacentral:piRNA from 1 species